UAAAGAUGAAGAAAACAAUCAUUCUCUCAAAUUCUCUCAAAACUGCUUUUGGUCAUAUUCAAGACAAUAAAAGAGAAAAAUAGACGUUGCUUCUCUUUGUUUCUGAAGCCUGACGCUUGAUUGAGAUGCCUUUUCUGGGGAACCUUCGGUGAUGAUUUUUAAAUAACAAGGGGAUUACAAAUAAAAACAAAUGACGUCUCGAAAAUAAGAAUGCGGUUAGUCCAAGAAGAAAACAUCACUUCAAAUUCUGA